ensembl:lncRNA
CCUGGAGGUCUCUAACAAUUAGCUUCCCUGGUGGCUCAGAGGGUAAAGCAUCUGCCUGCAAUGCGGGAGACCUGAGUUUGAUCCCUGGGUCAGGAAGAUCCCCUGGAGAAGGAAAUGGCAAACCACUCCAAUACUCUUGCCUGGAAAAUCCUGUGGAUGGAGAAGCCUGGUAAGCUGCAUUCCAUGGGGUCUCAAAAAGUUGGGAUAUGGUUGAGGGGUUUCAUUCAUUCACUCAUUCUGGAGGUCCAGUGGUAAAGAAUCUGCCUUGCAAUGCAGAGGACAUGGGUUCAAUUCCUGGUCAGAGAACUAAGAUUCCACACUCGGUGGAGAAACUAAGCCGCCGCAUCACAACUCCUGAGUCUUCCUGCUGCAACUCCUGACCUCACACGCCACAACUAGUGAGUCCCAGUGCUGCGCGGAAAGAUCCCACACGGUGCAAAGCUGAUCCAGCGUGCUGCAGCUAAGGACCCGAUGCAGCCGCGUAAAUAUUAUUUAAUAUCUAGAGUUUUACAUUUUUUAGAAAUUAGUUCAACACAAAGUCUAAAUUGAUGCACACACACACAACACGCGUGUGAACAUAAGCACAGUCACAGAUGUGUGCACAUCACCUAAAGUUUCUCUGGGACAGGCUGGUACAGGGGAAAGAAAGCAGGUGAGGAGCCAGGCAGCUCUGGUCCAUUCUUGGCUCUGAUAGCAUGGAAGUAAUUCUGCUUGAGCAGUGGUUUCCUCAUCUGUGAAACAGCUGUAACAGUAACCUAUUGGUAUUAGCUGGGAUACAGGGUGAACACCUUGGGCUUCUUAGGUGGCCCAGUGGUUAAGACUCUGCCAGUCAAUGCAGGAGACACAAGAGACUCAGUUUUGAUCCCUGGGUUAGGAAGAUGCCCUGGAAGAGGAAAAAGGCAAUUCACUGCAGUAUUCUUGCCUGGAAAAUUCCAUGGAUAGAGGAGCCUAGAGGGCUGCAGUCCAUGGGGUGGCAAAGAGUUGGACACGACUCAGCAUGCACACCAAAUACCUUCGCAGAAACCUCCAAGACUGUGCCUUGCGUAAGACAUAGGGAUGCUAUGCCCUUCAGGGGACAGUGAAAGUCAGUGACUGAGGCUCCCUGCUGCUCCCCAUCCCUGUGUGUGGGGGUACCAUUGUCCACAAGAUCCAGGGCAGUCAUCUGCAUUCCAGCCUGUGGGAGAAGGAGAAAGGGAAGGCGAGGGUGUGCCCCCUAGCUUUUAACAGCCUGUCUGGAAGCUGCACAAUCACUUCUGUUCGCACUUAUUGGAGACAACAUAGUCACCUAGGCAGCCCCAUCUGGCUGCAAGGGGAGUGGGAGAUUUUCAUCCUCACUUUGGUUGUCUAUGUGCUGACUUAAAACUAGGGAGGGUUCUGCUACUAAGGAAGGAGCAAGAGUGGAUACUGGGGCAUGGCUAGCAGUUUGCCACCCCACCUCACAUGGCAACCAGGGAAACUGAAUGAGAUCAUAAUAGCUGGAACAGUCCACAUCCACAAAUCAUAAAUCCCUUUGCACACUCGUAUUUCUAAUAGCCCCGUCGUAAUAGCCAGAAUGUGCAAGUAACCCCAGUGUCCAUGGACGAGUGAAUGGAUAAACAAAACAUAGUGGAAACACACAGUGGAAUAUUAUUCAGCCUUGAAAAGCUGAAUAGCCUGCAGAGAGUGAGUCCGUGGAAAGCAGAGACACCCUGUGCCUUGUCCACCGUUUUAUCCCAACAACGUGCACACGCGGCAUAGAGCUCAGUAGGCGCCCAGCUAAAUCUUGUGGAAUGCAUCUGAACACUCCGGGUCUGUUUGCUGCUGCUUUUUUCUCUAUCAACUAAUCUCUACAUUCCCUUCAUUCUUUGGUUUCCGUGGUAUUCCUACAGAAUAACAUUAGAGUGAGUUCUAGAAUUGCUCUCAGAAUUGGCUCUUCUCUGUAUCUUGGAUAACUACUCUGAGCCUCAGGUUCCUUAUCUCCAAAUUAAUAAAAUGAUUUCCAUGUCACAGAGCUAUAAGAUUGAGUAGGCUUGAUCAUGAAUGUGAAAAUGCUUUAGUAAACUUAAAAAAUAUAUACAUGUAUGAGUUAUGAUGAUAACAGUAUUGAUUAUUGUAAAGUUCUUGGCAUGAACAGUGAGUACUAAGUUUAAUUUAAU